UCGAGAAUUUUUCUCAAUGGGCGAAAGCCUGAAGGAGCGACGCCGCGUGGGGGAUGAAGGGCUUCGGCCCGUAAACCCCUGUCAUUUGCGAACAAGUGCCAUGGUUGAACAUUCCAUGGCUUGAUUGUAGCGAAAGAGGAAGGGACGGCUAACUCUGUGCCAGCAGCCGCGGUAAUACAGAGGUCCCGAGCGUUGUUCGGAUUCACUGGGCGUAAAGGGUGCGCAGGUGGGUUGGCAAGUUUGAUGUGAAAGCCCCGGGCUUAACCCGGGAAUGGCAUUGAAUACUGCUGAUCUGGAGGAUUGGAGGGGGGACUGGAAUUCUUGGUGUAGCAGUGAAAUGCGUAGAUAUCAAGAGGAACACCAGUGGCGAAGGCGAGUCCCUGGACAAUACCUGACACUGAGGCACGAAAGCCAAGGGAGCAAACA
rnacentral:rRNA from 1 species